AGUGAACGCUGGCGGUAGGCCUAACACAUGCAAGUCGAACGGCAGCACAGGAGAGCUUGCUCGCUGGGUGGCGAGUGGCGGACGGGUGAGGAAUACAUCGGAAUCUACUCUGUCGUGGGGGAUAACGUAGGGAAACUUACGCUAAUACCGCAUAAGACGUACGGGUGAAAGCAGUGGCCCUUCGGAUCAUGCGCGAUUGAAUGAGCCGAUGUCGGAUUAGCUAGUUGGCGGGGUAAAGGCCCACCAAGGCGACGAUCCGUAGCUGGUCUGAGAGGAUGAGCAGCCACACUGGAACUGAGACACGGUCCAGACUCCUACGGGAGGCAGCAGUGGGGAAUAUUGGACAAUGGGCGCAAGCCUGAUCCAGCCAUACCGCGUGGGUGAAGAAGGCCUUCGGGUUGUAAAGCCCUUUUGUUGGGAAAGAAAUCCAGCUGGCUAAUACCCGGUUGGGAUGACGGUACCCGAAGAAUAAGCACCGGCUAACUUCGUGCCAGCCGCCGCGGUAA
rnacentral:rRNA from 1 species